UGGCCAUUUUAUGUUGAAAUACUGGUUCUUGUAUGAUCACCAAAGUUAGGCAUCAUCAAGCCUGGUUAGUACUUAGUUGGGUGACCACUUGGGAAUACCAGGAACUGUAA